GAUGAACGCUGGCGGCGUGCCUAAUACAUGCAAGUCGAGCGAAUGGAUUAAGAGCUUGCUCUUAUGAAGUUAGCGGCGGACGGGUGAGUAACACGUGGGUAACCUGCCCAUAAGACUGGGAUAACUCCGGGAAACCGGGGCUAAUACCGGAUAACAUUUUGAACCGCAUGGUUCGAAAUUGAAAGGCGGCUUCGGCUGUCACUUAUGGAUGGACCCGCGUCGCAUUAGCUAGUUGGGGAGGUAACGGCUCACCAAGGCAACGAUGCGUAGCCGACCAGAGAGGGUGAUAGGCCACACUGGGACUGAGACACGGCCCAGACUCGUACGGGAGGCAGCAGUAGGGAAUCUUCCGCAAUGGACGAAAGUCUGACGGAGCAACGCCGCGUGAGUGAUGAAGGCUUUCGGGUCGUAAAACUCUGUUGUUAGGGAAGAACAAGUGCUAGUUGAAUAAGCUGGCACCCUGACGGUACCUAACCAGAAAGCCACGGCUAACUACGUGCCAGCCGCCGCAGUAA
rnacentral:rRNA from 1 species